AUUGAACGCUGGCGGCAGGCUUAACACAUGAAAGUCGAGCGGGGUGAUGGUGCUUGCACUAUCACUUAGCGGCGGAAGGGUGAGUAAUGCUUAGGAAUCUGCCUAUUAGUGGGGGACAACAUCUCGAAAGGGAUGCUAAUACCGCAUACGUCCUCCGCGAGAAAGCAGGGGAUCACUUGUGACCUUGCGCUAAUAGAUGAGCCUAAGUCGGAUUAGCUUGUUGGUGGUGUGAAGGCCUACCAAGGGGACGAUCUGUAGCGGGUCUGAGAGGAUGAUCCGCCACACUGGGAAGGAGACACGGCCCAGACUCCUACGGGAGGCAGCAGUUGGGAAUAUUGGACAAUGGGGGGAACCCUGAUCCAGCCAUGCCGCGUGUGUGAAGAAGGCCUUAUGGUUGUAAAGCACUUUAAGCGAGGAGGAGGCUCUUUUGGUUAAUACCCAAGAUGAGUGGACGUUACUCGCAGAAUAAGCACCGGCUAACUCUGUGCCAGCCGCCGCCGUAA
rnacentral:rRNA from 1 species